rnacentral:tRNA from 1 species
GGGGGAAUAGCUCAGCUGGGAGAGCAACAGACUGAAGUAGGAAAUAUCUUCUGGAGGUCCCCGGUUCAAUCCCGGGUUUCCCCA